ACACCAUCGUCUGCUCCCCACCCUUCUCGCCGCCGCGCACGCUCAGAGAGCCAUCGACGACGGCUAUCUUGGUCUGUGUCCCCACGUUUGUGGGCAGGCGGAGAUCUGGAUCUGCUCUCAUCGGCUUCGCCACUCAGCGGGCUCGGCGCAGCAGAAGAAGAACAAGCAGCUCGCUGUCGAGUAAGGCCACGCGUCCCGUCCGUGUCCGCACCGCCUUUUCGCCCCCGCAUCAGCGUUGCGUCUCCAAUGAGCGUGCGUGUCACCAAGGAGAGGCGAGGGCAGGCGGUGGUGGCGAUGCCGAUUGCAUCCGUCAACGUGCGCUUGGUGGGGAUUGCCUCCUCCAUCUGCAUAAACUUUCAAAGCAUUUCGACCCAUCUUCCUUCAAUCAAGCGAUCCCUUCCCUGUCGAUCACUUACUGGCCAGUACCAUGGCAUUGGGUCGAGCUCAGCUUCCUCCGUGCCGACCUACAACAGCAGCAGCAGGCGCCGGGUCUUAAGACCUGAAAAGGAGGCGGCGCGGAUCUGCAGUCAGUAGUAUCUUGUGCGACACCACUGCUUGUGGCCGGCGGGGCAACGACAAACACCAAGCCAAAGGUGUCCGCUCUCGAAGAAAGGCAGGCUGUAGUGCGACAUCUGCUCUGCCACGUUUCUGCUGUGGUGGUGCCGUGGUGGUGUGACUAAUCAUCAGAGAUAAGUAGCAAACCGUCAACCACCAGGGAGACGAGCCAGGCAAGUUUAUUUUCAUCUCGCUAUCUCCCUGAUAUUGGUGUCUAGAUUGAAGAUUAUGCAUCAGCGACAAGUAACGACCGCCCGGAAAGAGAGCCGGAAAAAAAGGACUGGAAAUCGCCACCGCCCGCCCCUAUUUGAGCAGCCGCUUGUUCCUUCCGCGUCCUCGCUGCUCCUCAAUUCGAUUGGCUCCGUGCCGACCUCCAUGUUGAGAAGGAAAGCAUCGCGAGUUCGCCAUACGGAUGGGUUCCAAAGCGCCUUUCUGUCUCACGCUCCUCUUGCUGCUCGCCGCGGCCUGUGGACCUGCUGCACAUGCCCACGAUGCUGUCGAGCUCCCGCAUCAUGGCUCAGCCUUGAAGGAACAGAUUUCUUCAACCAAGAUUCCUGCCCGUCUCAAGAGUGGCAGCGGACUAUGCUCGGCCUGUGAAAACUUCACGAGCGAAGCCGUCACUUAUCUCGGCAAGGAACAGACACAGGACAGGAUCAUGGAGUUCCUUCAUGAUGCUUGCUCCCAAUCAUUCUCCUUUGAACAGAAGUGUGUCGAGCUGAUGGACUCUUAUGCGACUCUCCUGUUUGCCAAGAUCACGGAGAUCAGACCGGAAGCGUUCUGCAAACGGUAUGGCCUGUGCAGGGACACGGCUCUUCUCUCCGGUGUGGGAAGUGACAGCACGUGUGUGUUCUGCCACCAUCUGCUCGAUGAAAUCAUGUCCAAACUGAAAGAUCCAGAUGCGGAGUUUGAGAUAAUUCAGAUUCUUGUCAAGGAGUGCAAUAAGAUCGAAGGUCACGUCCAGCAGGUAGGCUUUUUGGCUCUUCCUCUGUCCUUGUGAUUCUGUGCAAAAGGCGAGCUCGUCCUCUUCCUUAAUGAGGUUCUUAAGAGUGUUUCCUCAGCUGUAUUGGUUACCCUUACUACUUUGGAUUUUGGAAACAGUCCGAGACCCUUAUUAGUUAACAAUAUCAUAGUUGUUGCAAAGAUACUCUACUUUUUUUCAUCAUCUCUUCUUUACCAUUCAUAUCUCCCAGUUGUUGCAAGGGAAAAUUAACUCCAGUAAUUCUUUCUUGAGGGGUAGAACAGGAGUGUCGUUCUCAGAUUCAAUGAUUAUCAAACAACAUGUACUAAUUAUAUUUUAGCAAGCUGGCAGUUGAUGUGAUUCUCUAUGUUUACAUUUUGUCAAAUUAACGACAAGAGGGUUAAGUUUUAGAAGCAACUACCCUGCACUGGUUAAUAAUAUCUGUGAGGACCCAAGUUGGUCCCAGUCCUCUUCGAUUGGUGCUCUGUGCCUGUGAUUUGAGGAAAGUUUCAGUACAACACAUUGUAUUUUGAUUAGUGAAUGAAGCAUUUAGACGAUAUUGUUGCAGGUUGAGCAGAUAGUGGUUGAAAGGUCUGAAGGUUGGCAUUGUGGAUAUUUUUGCUAUCUUGCAUGGAUUCCCAGACAAUGUGAGGACGAACCAGAAGGGCGAGUUCUGGGUGGCGAUCCACUGUCGGAGAAGUAUGUAUCCUCGGCUAAUGAGCUGCCAUGUCAAGCUGAGGAAGUUUUUGCUCAGCUUCCCAAUCCCUGCCAAGUACCACUACCUGAUGCAUAUCGAUAGCAAGCUCUACGCGUUGAUCAUCAGGGACAGCCCGAUGGCCAGAUGCUUCACAUCAUGGAGGACGACAAGGGAGAGGUGGUGAGAGUUAUCAUCGAAGUGGAGGGUCCGUCUGAUGCCAUUCAUCGCUGUCUUUGACCUCGUGAAGGCGUCUUAGCCACUUCAAUUUGAUUGGAAAUAUUGUUGUUUUAAGAUACGGGUCCAUGGUUAAUGUUGUAUGCUUCUCUGAGAAGACCUGUCAUUCCAAUAAUUUGGUUCUGGAGCAACCUGGAGCUGUAUACUGAUCUAGCUUCUUUUAGUAACAAAUGUAAGUUGCUCACAUUUUCUUUAGAUUGUCUAUAGAACUUUGAACGACCAGCUCGUCCCUUCUA